rnacentral:rRNA from 1 species
UACGGGGGGGAGCAAGCGUUGUUCGGAUUUACUGGGCGUAAAGCGUGCGCAGGCGGUUUUGUAAGUCUGUCGUGAAAUCCCUGGGCUCAACCUAGGAAUUGCGAUGGAGACUGCAAGGCUAGAAUCUGGCAGAGGGGGGUAGAAUUCCACGGUGUAGCAGUGAAAUGCGUAGAGAUGUGGAGGAACACCGAUGGCGAAGGCAGCCCCCUGGGUCAAGAUUGACGCUCAUGCACGAAAGCGUGGGGAGCAAACAGG